CCUACGGGAGGCAGCAGUGAGGAAUAUUGGUCAAUGGGCGAAAUCCUGAACCAGCCAAGUAGCGUGCAGGAUGACGGCCCUACGGGUUGUAAACUUCUUUUAUACGGGAAUAACACCCCUUACGUGUAGGGCUUUGCAUGUACCGUAUGAAUAAGGACCGGCUAAUUCCGUGCCAGCAGCCGCGGUAAUACGGAGGGUCCGGGCGUUAUCCGGAUUUAUUGGGUUUAAAGGGAGCGUAGGCCGCACGUCAAGCCUGCUGUGAAAUGUCCGGGCUCAACCCCGGCCUUGCAGCGCGAACUGGCGGGCUUGAGUGCGCGGAAAGCAGGCGGAAUGCGUGGUGUAGCGGUGAAAUGCUUAGAUAUGACGAAGAACCCCGAUUGCGAAGGCAGCUUGCUGCAGCGGAACUGACGCUGAUGCUCGAAAGCGCGGGUAUCGAACAGGAUUAGAUACCCGAGUAGUC
rnacentral:rRNA from 1 species